UAAUACGUAGGGAGCAAGCGUUGUUCGGAUUUACUGGGCGUAAAGAGUGCGUAGGCGGUUAUAUAAGUCAAAGGUGAAAUCUCCACUUUCAAGGUGGAAAGUGCCUCUGAUACUGUAUAACUAGAGGGCAAGAGGGGGAAAUGGAACUCUGGGAGUAGCGGUGAAAUGCGUAGAUAUCCAGAGGAACGCCGGUAGCGAAGGCGAUUUCCUGGCUUGCAUCUGACGCUGAGGCACUAAAGCUAGGGUAGCGAUCGGGAUUAGAGACCCCGGUAGUCCUAGCCCUAAACGAUGGGUACUAAGUGUGGGGGGAGCAUUACCCUCUGUGCUGAAGUUAACGCGUUAAGUACCCCGCCUGGGGAGUACGGUCGCAAGGCUG
rnacentral:rRNA from 1 species